GACGAACGCUAGCGGCGUGCCUAAGGUAUGCAAGUCGAACGGGGGGCGCAAGCCCCUAGUGGCGAACGGUCGAGGAACACGUAGACAACCUGCCUCCAAGUGGGGGAUAACAGCCCGAAAGGGCUGCUAAUACCGCAUGUGGUCCCUUCUCGCCUGGGAAGGGGACUAAAGGUUUACUGCUUGGAGAUGGGUCUGCGGCCUAUCAGGUA
rnacentral:rRNA from 1 species